CUGACAGAACCAGAGCUGUUAGAGCAGGGACGCGCGAAGGGCGGGAGUACGGGCAGCGCUGGAGAACCUCUGCGGCGGAGGGGCUGGGGGUGGGACCGGGCCCGCGAGCCCGCCCUGACCGGGGUGUCUGUGUGCUUGUGAAGCGCUCCGUUGUUAGUUCCUUCUGUGAGACUCGGGGGAGACUGAAGAGGGAAAUCACCUGCGGGGAAUGAACAGGAAAGCAAUAAGAAGAUUUGGAAAAGAGGCACUGGCUACUUGAGGAAGGGGGAAAUCACAGAGAGAGCGAAAGAUGUAACAG